GUCUGUGGCCAUACCACCCUGAAAGUAGCCAGUCUCCUAAGAUUGGGGAAGCAAAGCAUGGAUGGGCCUGCUUAGUACUUGCUUGGAAGCAAGGACUUCCCAAGGG
rnacentral:rRNA from 1 species